AUUGAACGCUGGCGGCAGGCCUAACACAUGCAAGUCGAACGAGUGGCGGACGGGUGAGUAAUGUCUGGGAAACUGCCCGAUGCAUGGGGAUAACUACUGGAAACGGUAGCUAAUACCGCAUACCAUCGGAUGUGCCCAGAUGGGCUUAGCUUGUAGGUGAGGUAACGGCUCACCUAGGCGACGAUCCCUAGCUGGUCUGAGAGGAUGACCAGCCAGACUGGAACUGAGACACGGUCCAGACUCCGACGGGAGGCAGCAGUGGGGAAUGUUGCGCAAGUGGCGCAAGCCUGAUGCAGCCAUGCCGCGGGUGUGAAGAAGGACUUCGGGUUGUAAAGUACUUUCAGCGGGGAGGCGGUACCCGCAGAAGAAGCACCGGCUAACUCCGUGCCAGCAGCCGCGGUAAUAC
rnacentral:rRNA from 1 species